rnacentral:lncRNA from 1 species
UAGUCUUGGCCGCAGAAGCGAGAUGAUGAAGGGAACGUCAUCAUUUGGAAAGCAUUGCAAUAAGACGUACACGUUAUGCCACCACUGUGGCUCUAAGGCCUACCACCUUCAGAAGUCGACCUAUGGCAAAUGUGGCUACACUGCCAAGCGCAAGAGAAAGUAUAACUGGAGUACCAAGGCUAAAAGACGAAAUACCACCAGAACUGGUCAAAUGAGGCACCUAAAAAUUGUAUACCAUAGAUUCAGGCAUGGAUUCCGUGAAGGAACAACACCUAAACCCAAGAGGGCAGCUGUUGCAGCAUCCAGUUCAUCUUAAUGUCAACGAUUAGUCAUGCAAUAAAUGUUCUGGUUUUAAAAAAUACAAAAUAAAUAAAUAAAUAAAUAAAAAAUAAAUUAAAAAAGA